rnacentral:rRNA from 1 species
AACGAACGCUGGCGGCAUGCCUAACACAUGCAAGUCGAACGAAGCCUUCGGGCUUAGUGGCGCACGGGUGCGUAACGCGUGGGAAUCUGCCCCUUGCUUCGGAAUAACAGUUAGAAAUGACUGCUAAUACCGGAUGAAGUCUUCGGACCAAAGAUUUAUCGGCAAGGGAUGAGCCCGCGUAGGAUUAGGUAGUUGGUGGGGUAAAGGCCUACCAAGCCGACGAUCCUUAGCUGGUCUGAGAGGAUGAUCAGCCACACUGGGACUGAGACACGGCCCAGACUCCUACGGGAGGCAGCAGUGGGGAAUAGUGGACAAUGGACGCAAGUCUGAUCCAGCAAUGCCGCGUGAGUGAUGAAGGCCUUAGGGUUGUAAAGCUCUUUUACCAGGGAUGAUAAUGACAGUACCUGGAGAAUAAGCUCCGGCUAACUCCGUG